rnacentral:rRNA from 1 species
UACGGAGGGUGCGAGCGUUGUCCGGAAUCACUGGGCGUAAAGGGCGCGUAGGCGGCGCGGAUAGUCGGCGGUGAAAGCCCGGAGCUCAACUCCGGGUCGGCCGUCGAUACUUCCGGGCUUGAGCACUGUAGAGGCAGAUGGAAUUCCGGGUGUAGCGGUGGAAUGCGUAGAGAUCCGGAAGAACACCGGUGGCGAAGGCGGCUCACUGGCCCGGUACUGACGCUGAGGUGCGAAAGCGUGGGGAGCAAACAGG